rnacentral:rRNA from 1 species
UACAGAGGGGGCAAGCGUUAUUCGGAAUUAUUGGGCGUAAAGGGCGCGUAGGCGGCCUGACAAGUGGAAGGUGAAAUCCCUCGGCUUAACCGAGGAACUGCCCUCCAAACUGUUUGGCUUGAGUCCGGGAGAGGUGAGUGGAAUUCCCAGUGUAGCGGUGAAAUGCGUAGAUAUUGGGAGGAACACCAGCGGCGAAGGCGGCGACCUGGACAGGUACUGACACUCAACUACGAAAGCGUGGGGAGCAAACAGG